rnacentral:rRNA from 1 species
CGAACGCUGGCGGCGUGCUUAACACAUGCACGUCGAACGGAAAGGCCCUGCUUUUGUGGGGUGCUCGAGUGGCGAACGGGUGAGUAACACGUGAGUAACCUGCCCUUGACUUUGGGAUAACUUCAGGAAACUGGGGCUAAUACCGGAUAGGAGCUCCUGCUGCAUGGUGGGGGUUGGAAAGUUUCGGCGGUUGGGGAUGGACUCGCGGCUUAUCAGCUUGUUGGUGGGGUAGUGGCUUACCAAGGCUUUGACGGGUAGCCGGCCUGAGAGGGUGACCGGCCACAUUGGGACUGAGAUACGGCCCAGACUCCUACGGGAGGCAGCAGUGGGGAAUAUUGCACAAUGGGCGGAAGCCUGAUGCAGCAACGCCGCGUGCGGGAUGACGGCCUUCGGGUUGUAAACCGCUUUCGCCUGUGACGAAGCGUGAGUGACGGUAAUGGGUAAAGAAGCACCGGCUAACUACGUG